rnacentral:rRNA from 1 species
CAUGCAAGUCUACUUGAUCCUUCGGGUGAAGGUGGCGGACGGGUGAGUAACGCGUANANUACUUGCCUUACAGACUGGGACAACAUUUGGAAACGAAUGCUAAUACCGGAUAUUAUGACUGAGUCGCAUGAUUUGGUUAUGAAAGCUAUAUGCGCUGUGAGAGAGCUUUGCGUCCCAUUAGUUAGUUGGUGAGGUAACGGCUCACCAAGACGAUGAUGGGUAGCCGGCCUGAGAGGGUGAACGGCCACAAGGGGACUGAGACACGGCCCUUACUCCUACGGGAGGCAGCAGUGGGGAAUAUUGGACAAUGGACCAAAAGUCUGAUCCAGCAAUUCUGUGUGCACGAUGAAGUUUUUCGGAAUGUAAAGUGCUUUCAGUUGGGAAGAAGUCAGUGACGGUACCAACAGAAGAAGCGACGGCUAAAUACGUGCCAGCAGCCGCGGUAAUACGUAUGUCGCAAGCGUUAUCCGGAUUUAUUGGGCGUAAAGCGCGUCUAGGCGGUUUAGUAAGUCUGAUGUGAAAAUGCGGGGCUCAACCCCGUAUUGCGUUGGAAACUGUUAAACUAGAGUACUGGAGAGGUAGGCGGAACUACAAGUGUAGAGGUGAAAUUCGUAGAUAUUUGUAGGAAUGCCGAUGGGGAAGCCAGCCUACUGGACAGAUACUGACGCUAAAGCGCGAAAGCGUGGGUAGCAAACAGGAUUAGAUACCCUGGUAGUCCACGCCGUAAACGAUGAUUACUAGGUGUUGGGGGUCGAACCUCAGCGCCCAAGCUAACGCGAUAAGUAAUCCGCCUGGGGAGUACGUACGCAAGUAUGAAACUCAAAGGAAUUGACGGGGACCCGCACAAGCGGUGGAGCAUGUGGUUUAAUUCGACGCAACGCGAGGAACCUUACCAGCGUUUGACAUCCCAAGAAGUUAACAGAGAUGUUUUCGUGCCUCUUCGGAGGAACUUGGUGACAGGUGGUGCAUGGCUGUCGUCAGCUCGUGUCGUGAGAUGUUGGGUUAAGUCCCGCAACGAGCGCAACCCCUUUCGUAUGUUACCAUCAUUAAGUUGGGGACUCAUGCGAGACUGCCUGCGAUGAGCAGGAGGAAGGUGGGGAUGACGUCAAGUCAUCAUGCCCCUUAUACGCUGGGCUACACACGUGCUACAAUGGGUAGUACAGAGAGCUGCAAACCUGCGAGGGUAAGCUAAUCUCAUAAAACUAUUCUUAGUUCGGAUUGUACUCUGCAACUCGAGUACAUGAAGUUGGAAUCGCUAGUAAUCGCAAAUCACGCUAUGUUGCGGUGAAUACGUUCUCGGGUCUUGUACACACCGCCCGUCACACCAGCGAGAGUUGGUUGCACCUGAAGUAACAGGCCUAACCCGUAAGGAGGGAUUUCCAGGGUGU